rnacentral:rRNA from 1 species
CAGUAGCCGCGGUAAAACAGAGGGUGCGAGCGUUAAUCGGAUUUACUGGGCGUAAAGCGUGCGUAGGCGGCUUUUUAAGUCGGAUGUGAAAUCCCUGAGCUUAACUUAGGAAUUGCAUUCGAUACUGGGAAGCUAGAGUAUGGGAGAGGAUGGUAGAAUUCCAGGUGUAGCGGUGAAAUGCGUAGAGAUCUGGAGGAAUACCGAUGGCGAAGGCAGCCAUCUGGCCUAAUACUGACGCUGAGGUACGAAAGCAUGGGGAGCAAACAGGAUUAGAGACCCGAGUAGUCCCUGUCUCUUAUAC